rnacentral:rRNA from 1 species
UUGACCUCGACCUCGGAUCAGGUAGGGAUACCCGCUGAACUUAAGCAUAUCAAUAAGCGGAGGA